AGUAAUGUAUGGGGAUCUGCCCGAUAGAGGGGGAUAACUACUGGAAACGGGUGGCUAAUACCGCAUAAUGUCUACGGACCAAAGCAGGGGCUCUUCGGACCUUGCACUAUCGGAUGAACCCAUAUGGGAUUAGCUAGUAGGUGGGGUAAAGGCUCACCUAGGCGACGAUCCCUAGCUGGUCUGAGAGGAUGAUCAGCCACACUGGGACUGAGACACGGCCCAG
rnacentral:rRNA from 1 species